rnacentral:rRNA from 1 species
UAGGGAAUCUUCGGCAAUGGGGGCAACCCUGACCGAGCAACGCCGCGUGAGUGAAGAAGGUUUUCGGAUCGUAAAGCUCUGUUGUAAGUCAAGAACGGGUGUGAGAGUGGAAAGUUCACACUGUGACGGUAGCUUACCAGAAAGGGACGGCUAACUACGUGCCAGCAGCCGCGGUAAUACGUAGGUCCCGAGCGUUGUCCGGAUUUAUUGGGCGUAAAGCGAGCGCAGGCGGUUUGAUAAGUCUGAAGUUAAAGGCUGUGGCUCAACCAUAGUUCGCUUUGGAAACUGUCAAACUUGAGUGCAGAAGGGGAGGGUGGAAUUCCAUGUGUAGCGGUGAACUGCGUAGAUAUAUGGAGGAACACCGGUGGCGAAAGCGGCUCUCUGGUCUGUAACUGACGCUGAGGCUCGAAAGCGUGGGGAGCGAACAGG